rnacentral:lncRNA from 1 species
AUGUAUUUGACAACAGAUGAAUAAAUGGCACAUUGUGAGGAAUUCAGUGUGUUUACAGAAAAAGUUGAAAUAUGUUUUCUGUCUUCUCAUUGCCUCUUACUAGGUUUUGGAGGCCGUGGUGUUCUCCCUGAAGUGGCCACAGGAUCUGGACUUGGGCCUCAGACUGGGGCAGGAGUACUCGGCCAAGGUGGAGCUGGACCAGGAGGAGCAGGAAAUGGCCGUGGACAGCAAUUGCCAGGGGUUUUCCGUGGUUACCCUCUCAUAUCACCAAAAUCAGGGAGUGGCAAAACAAAGAAUCCAGCCAAAGCUGCAGCUAAAUAUGGUGGAGCUGGAGCUGGAGGAGGAACGCUUGGUCAAGGAAGCGCUUUGGGGGGUGGGGCUGGAAGACUCCCUGGAGGAGGGGCAGGAAUCACACCUGGAUUAGGAGGCGGAGUUGGAACAGGAGGUGGACCUGGAGGAGCCAUACCUGGUUUAGGUUAUGGUCCUGGCUCAGCCAAAGCACGUAAAUAUGGUCAGACAGGCCUUGGAGGAGGAGGACCAGGUGGAGGACUGGGGCCUGGCUCAGGCAUUGGGACAGGUGUAGCAGGGGGCGGCUAUGGUUAUGGUCCAGGCAGUGCAGGCACAGGCUCAGCUGGAGGCCUUGGAGGCGGAGGACCAGGAGGAGGAGUUGGCCUCGGCACAGGUGUGGCACCUGGCUCUGGGGUCGGUUUUGGUCCAGGCGGUGCCGGCACUGGGUCAGGUGGCCUUGGUCCUGGUGGUGCUGGUACUGGGUCAGGUGGCCUUGGUCCUGGUGGUGCUGGUGGUGCUGGUACUGGCCCUGGAGGAGCUGGUUACGGGCCUGGUAGAACUGGGUAUGGACCAGGUGGCACUGGAGCUGGAUUGGGAGGAGCCGGAACAGGACCUGGAGGGUAUGACGCGAGUGCCAAAGCUCGUAAAUAUGGCAUGCUAAGUGGAGCACUUGGAGGUUUAGGCACUGGUGGAGUCAGGCCUGGAGGUACUGGCACUGGUUAUGGACCAGGUGGUGCUGGUACAGGCUAUGGACAAGGUGGUGUCGGACCUGGUGGUGCUGGCUAUGGACCCGGCGGUGCUGGAACAGGCUAUGGACAAGGUGGUGUCGGACCUGGAGGUGCUGCUACAGGCUAUGGACAAGGUGGUGUCGGACCUGGUGGUGCUGGUGCAGGUAAUGGACAAGGAGGUGUCAGACCUGGUGGUGCUGGAACAGGCUAUGGACAAGGUGGUGUCGGACCUGGCGGUGCUGGUACCGGUUAUGGACCAGGUGGUGCUAGUACUGGUUAUGGACCAGGUGGUGCUGGAACAGGUUAUGGACAAGGUGGAGUUGGACCUGUUGGUGCUGGAUAUGGACCUGGUGGAGGAGUUGGACCUGGUGGUGCUGGCUAUGGACCUGGAGGUUAUGCUGGUGCCAAAGCUCGUAAAUAUGGUCUGCCUGGAGGAGUUGGAGGAGCCCUGGGUGCAGGAGGACUUGGUGGUGGAGUCGGGCCUGGUUCUGGGCUCGGAGUAGGAGGAGGGGUCCCGGGAAGAGGUGUUGGACUAACAACUGGUGGUGGACCUGGAGCAGGACUGGGGACCGGUGCGAUACCUGGGUCAGGUGUUGGAACGGGUGGUGGACCUGGUGGCUUUGGACUAGGUAGUGCUGGAGGAUAUCCGGGGGGAGCCAAGUCUCUCAAAUACGGGCUUCCUGGUGGUGGUGGAGCCCCAGGAUCUGGUCUGAACGUAAUAUUUGGUGGCCCAGCAGCAGGAGGAGGAUAUGGCCCUGGGACCGGAGGAGCACUCGGAACUGGAAGAGCAGGAUAUGGACCUGGUGGAUAUGGACCUGGCGGAUAUGGGCCUGUGCCUGGUGCUGGUUACGGACCAGGGGGAGGCUAUGGUGCAGUACCAGGAGCUGGAUAUGGAACAGGCUAUGGAGCUGGAUCAAAAGCUGCUAAAUAUGGUCAAGCUGGAACCACUGGUGGGGUACUUGGAGGUGGAGUGGGACGAGAGGGCCAACCUGGUGGUGUUGCACCUGGGGCAGGAGCCGGGACAGGCACUGGAGGAGCAGGGGCAGGAUCAGGGACCGGCACUGGAGGUGCAGGUGCAGGGACCAGCACUGGAGGAGCAGGUGCAGGGACCGGGACAGGUACUGGAGGAGCAGGUGCAGGGACCGGCACUGGUGUUGGUACAGUGAAUGGAACCAGCACUGGCAGGGGUGCAGUGACGACAGCUGGACCCACUGGGGGAGGACUUGGCAGCGCAGGAGGCACACCAGCUCCAGCAUCAGAAGGUGAUGGUGGAGCUGGCAGCGUGAUAGAAGGUUCUGGAAGUUCUGGAGGAGAAGGAGGUGCAGGUGUAGCCGGCAGACCAGUGGGAGCAGGUGCUGAUGGAGACGGCCUGAGUGGAACAGGGAUCCCCAUCAUUGCAGCAAAACCAGGAGUCAAUGGGACCGAAGUUCCAGGUUCUAGUGAAGAUGUCUCAGGUGGUUCACUGCCUGGAGCUAAACCUCUCAAACCCCCAGGUGUCCCCAGAGGUGACACACCCGGUGAAGGAGAUGGAGAGGAAGGCCCCGAUGGAGAGGAGACAGUCCUGCAACUGGAACUGGAGUUGGAGCACAGAGUGCAACUGGUGGAGUAG